rfam:Camelus ferus unplaced genomic scaffold scaffold1095, whole genome shotgun sequence.
GAGGGUAGAGCUCAGUGAUAGGGCACGUGCUUAGCAUGCACCAGGUCCUGGGUUCAAUCCCCAGUCCUUCCA